rnacentral:rRNA from 1 species
UACGGAGGGUGCAAGCGUUGUUCGGAAUUACUGGGCGUAAAGGGCGCGUAGGCGGUUUGAUAAGUCAGAUGUGAAAGCCCACGGCUUAACUGUGGAAGUGCAUUUGAUACUGUCAGACUUGAGUACCAGAGGGGAAAGUGGAAUUCCCGGUGUAGAGGUGAAAUUCGUAGAUAUCGGGAGGAAUACCGGUGGCGAAGGCGACUUUCUGGCUGGAUACUGACGCUGAGGCGCGAAAGCGUGGGGAGCAAACAGGAUUAGAUACCCGAGUAGU